UGAGCUCUCUUGGAAAAGCUCUCAGAUCCUGGCUGUGAUGAUUUGCAUGUACGCCAGCUCUCAUUGGACAUAGAGCGGGGCCUCAGCUGCUGCCUUCCUCACCACCGCAUUCCUGCCACCGCAGAAGAAGCCAAGUCUCUCAAGUACACUCAGCCUCUUUCCCCUACGGCCACCUGCCAUCCGACACCUUUCCCCACUGGCUCCAAGUUCCGCUGGGAUCUUGGUUACAGGUGCAAAGCCACAGUGAGGAGGACGAGAGCUGCUGGCCCAACAGUCCCAGACACCCCCACCUGUACUAGACUUUUGCUGGCAAAGACUCAAGAAGCUUUCUCCACCACCACAACCAUACAUGCUCUGAGAGCCCUGGCUUCAGAGACGAGCCUAACUUCCACCUCCUCUUAGAAGGGGUUGUGCUGCCCCCAACACCCAGCUCCCGCUCCCUGCCCCUACAAACCCCUGAACUCGGUAGGAGAAAAGCAGCAGGGUACACUGGAAAGAAGACCAGACUGAGAGACUUGGAAUCUUCGCCCUGAGGCUAUGGUGCACGCUGCAUGCACAGAGAAAGACCUGAGGCACGUCCUGUCAUUUCUCUGUGCUUUGGUUUCUCUAUCAUGUAGGCAUUAGAAUAUGCAAGGUGGACAGUGGUAAUCUAGACAAAGACUUAAUUUGCUCCCGAGCUUUGACACUGCCUAGGGCGGUUAGAGGAUUUAACGAUGGUCCAGUUUGGGCAACAAGGAUUGCUACUGGAAUAUUCUGAAAGGACCCAAGCUAAAUGAAGAAGGAGAAAUCCCACCUCAAGCCCUGAAACCUUGGUGCACCCAGCCCUGGGGUCCUUCCCUUGGAGCCUCUAUAUAUCCUGAUGUGUUCCCAAUUAAAUUCGAGGAAGUCUUCCACGACACCAGAGUCCUGCUCUUCUUCUUGAAAUCUCACCUGAAGAGCCUCCCCUUAUCCCAAAUUUCUUCCUCUAGCUCAAAUUUUACAUCUUCAUAGGAAAGAGAUGAGUGGGAUUCAGCAUUCUUCCUCUUGGCCAUUGCAAUACAAUCACAGUAUUUUCUGCUGGCAGAGAACAAAACACAAACAAAAAUAUUUUUA
rnacentral:lncRNA from 1 species